GCGUUGCUCGGAAUGACUGGGCGUAAAGGGCGCGUAGGCGGAUGCAUUUGUCGGGCGUGAAAUUCCAGGGCUCAACCUUGGGACUGCGUUCGAGACGGUGUGUCUAGAGUUUGGCAGAGGGUCGUGGAAUUCCCAGUGUAGAGGUGAAAUGCGUAGAUAUUGGGAAGAACACCGGUGGCGAAGGCGGCGACCUGGUCCUUGACUGACGCUGAUGCGCGAAAGCGUG
rnacentral:rRNA from 1 species